AGAGUUUGAUCAUGGCUCAGAACGAACGUUGGCGGCGUGGAUUAGGCAUGCAAGUCGAGCGGGAUUAGCUUUAUUCAAUUCUUCGGAAAAGAAAAUUGCUAUGAGAGCGGCGCACGGGUGAGUAAUAUAUGGGCAAUUUGCCUCUUUGUUCGGAAUAGCCAUCGGAAACGAUGAGUAAUGCCGGAUGUGAUCGUCUGCCGCAUGGUAGAUUAUUUAAAGGCGGGGAAUCUUCGGAUCCUGUCGCAAAGAGAUGAGCCCAUAUCCUAUCAGCUAGUUGGUGAGGUAACGGCUCACCAAGGCUUACGGGUAGCUGGUCUGAGAGGAUGAUCAGCCACACUGGAACUGAGACACGGUCCAGACUCCUACGGGAGGCUGCAGUCGAGAAUCAUUGUCAAUGCACGAAAGUGUGAGCAUGCGACGCCGCGUGGAGGAAGACGGCCUUUGGGUUGUAAACUCCUGUCAGCAGGGAGUAAGGAUAGCAUUCCUAAUAGGGGUGUUAUUUGAUAGUACCUGCAGAGGAAGUCACGGCUAACUCUGUGCCAGCAGCCGCGGUAAUACAGAGGUGGCGAACGUUGUUCGGAUUUACUGGGCGUAAAGGGUCCGCAGGCGGCUCGGUGUGUCAGAUGUGAAAGCCCACGGCUUAACCGUGGAAUUGCAUUUGAAACUGCCGGGCUAGAGUACUGGAGGGGAGAAGGGAACACUUGGUGUAGCGGUGAAAUGCGUAGAUAUCAAGUGGAACACC
rnacentral:rRNA from 1 species